UUUCAGGAGUUCAUUACAGGUUUAAAAUAAAGACUGGCACAAAGUUUUUAGGUGGAUAUAGUGGAAAAGUUACUGUUACACUUUACGGAGAAAAUGGAUUUGAUGUCUUGAACUUACCAAGCCAGAAAUAUGAUAGCGGGACAUUAGAAGAUGUAUUCUAUACAGGAAAAAAAGAGCUAGGAAAGUUAAUUAAAGUAGACGUUUCCACAGACGCGUUAAUUGAUAACUGGUUCUUAAUAUCGUUGUCAGUUAAGCACAAGACGUCUGGACAAGAAUAUCAGGCAUGCUACAAAAAAUGGUUGAAGAGCGGACCAAACGAGGAAAACUUUACGAAUAGUAUAUCGGCAACGUGCGAUGACAAGUGACUGUUUUGUGAAAUUAAAAUUAGUUAAUUAUAAACCGACAAGAAAUUGGUUUUAAAAUA
rnacentral:lncRNA from 1 species